CUAUGCCUCUCUUGAGUCUUUUCCCAACACCUGCUCCAGGUCUCUCACGGCUUUGGCUUCCUCACAUUUGUUAUGAAGACAGUGGUGAAAGACUAUUUUGUCUCCAGAAGAACAGCUUGUGGUCCUGCUCGCUUCUGAGGCUACAGCACCACCUGCCGCUCAUCUGAGGAAACCGGCUGAGACGGCAAAGGCCCGGGAGCCUGGGAGGAGGCGGAGGCUGACUAGGAGGCUGGCUCUGGGCCUCAAGAGAACCGACUCUUUGUUCUGGACAAAUCCAGCACUGGCCCUCAGGGACAAGGCAAACGUUUUGAUCAUUGUCGUCAGUCAUACAUCUUAGGCAAGGCAGGAUGCCUAGCUCUUACAAAAAGGAACUUGGAGGUUCUGAAAGGAUAUCUGGAUCUGCCGAUUUUCAUAAAACUCCAGUGUCCUCUCAAGGUUAAUUUACCCAGAGGAGUACCAGCCUGCCUUUGAAAUUCUGUAGAUUUCCUCAAAGUGAUUCUUGUUUCUGUGCGGGUUUGAGAUUAUUGCAAGUCGAGUUAAUUGGAUGGGUAAGAUAAUGAAGGCAAGCGUAGAAGAAUCAGACCUUUGGAAAAAAUAUAAGGAGCUUGCUCUUGCUGAACUCUCGCGGGUUCUCAGCCAGAGCGCUCUCUUAAGCUCG
rnacentral:lncRNA from 1 species